UACAGUUAGUAGUUUGUUUAUCAUUAAAUUGUUACCUUUCUCCAAUGAUUAGGGUGUUAAUUGUUGUCAACAAUAAAAUUAGCUUCAAAUAUCAAGUAAAACAAGUUGACUUUGGAAAGCAAAUUGUAAUAAGCUGAUUAAUUUAAGUUAAUUAGAUUCCACUAAUUAACUGUCACCCAAAUUAAAUCAACAACAAAAAAGUGUUUUUCCUCUCUCAAUUUGUGUUCAAUCAUCUUUAUUGAUUAUCGUUAAUUAUUAUUGACCUUUAAUGGCUGAACGUUUACGAGAGAUCGAUUUUAUCGUUCAAUUAUCUUAUGGACCAGAGAUUACGAAAAAUUUUCUCGCUCGUAAAAUGAACCAACGGAUUGACCUGAUUAACCGGAUUAUCCAAAGAUACACUUUAACCGAGCCCGUUAUCCAUUUCUGUAACAUUACCAUUCGUACCCUGAGGAUAUUGGAAAAUCUUGUCCAUGAAGAUUUCAACCCAUUGUUGGAAAAUUUUGGUUCCAAUCAUUUCAUUCAGAUGAUGAUUAAACAAUAUGAGAAUAUUGUUCAUUCACUUGCAAUUGCUUUUCGUGGAUUAGAUUUAUUUAAAUUGGAUUAUGAGACUCCUAAUUCCUUGCUGCAAAAGCUUCAAACUGAACCAAUUGAAUCAAUUAAAUCACAAGCAAUUAUAUUAAUUGAUUCUUACAAAGAUGAUAUUAAAUUGGUUGAAGCUUGUGAUGCAAAUUGUAAUUUCAAGUUAAAUCUACCCAAUCAACCAUCAGUUUUCACGAGACUGGCAACCAUUGCAAUUGAACAAUUAGAUUCACUUCGUGGUGACAUUGAAACAAUCAAUCUAAUUGCUGAUAAUUGUGACGAUGUUAACAAUCAAAUGGAACCUUUGUCAACAACAUCAAUUAAUUGUCUCAAAAUUAAUCUUAUACGAUUGAAUUUUAUCAUUCACAUGAUUACCUCUGAUUAUGAUAAACUUACCAUCUACUAAUCUUAUAAUAAACAAUUAAGUGUCAAAGACCUUCAGCAAUCAUCAUCUUCAUAAUCAUCAUCAUUUGAUUGUUAAAAAUGAUCACAAGCAAUUACUAUGUAUUCAAAGUGCCAAACAAUUUAAGGAUCAAUGAAACAAAUCAGUGACCAAAAUGUAUAAUAAGUUUUGUGAAAUUAAAAAUCCAUAUAUGAAAAAAAAUAAACAUAGACAAUAUUAAUUAAUUAGAAUUGACAAUUUAAUUGUAAUCAAUUGACUAAUUUGUUUUUCGCGCUAAUCCAACAAAAGGCGGAGCUCAAACUUUUACCGUUAACUUUAAACAAAUUUGGUUAGUAAAUUACAAAUUGUAAUUCAAGGUUGUUUGAUUUACCGUUACAACGAUUGUCAUUACAAUCAUUUAUUUAAUCAACUCUUAUUUAAUCAAGUUAAUUGUGACAAGAUUGAAUGAUGAACAAUAACAAUUGUGAUCCAGUCAAUCUUUUCAAUUCAGUUCUUUAUUGAUUCCGUUUCCUUUUCUGCUCAUCUGAUUACUAACAUUCAACAUCAUCAGGUGUUUAUUUUAAUCAUCUUUUUUAAUUGUCUAAUUUGCUCACAUUGUUAUGGUAAUGUCUAGUGUAACCAUGAAAUCGAGUCAAAUGAGAGAGGUUGAUUUCAUUUCCAAACUAAUCAAAUAUGGACCAGUAUUGACACGACAUUUAUUGACCAGUAAAAUUGACCAAUUGCUCAGAAUCUUUCGAUCUGAAAUGAGUCAACCCGAUUGUGAUACAAGUAAAAUCGAUCUUUGUUCAAUUGCAAUCGAAACUCUGGUCCUACUUAACGAGUCAAUUGCUUACACCUACGAUCGAUUGGAUCGACUUGGUGGAGAUGAAAUCAGAAAAUUUGAUCAACUAAUCUUGGACCAAUAUGAAAACAUCCUGAGUGUCCUUUGUGAACAAUCAGAUUACCAUGAUGACCAUUACCUGAAACCAAAUAAUUUGCUGGCUAAUCUAUCCUACAAAACAGCGGAAACCAUUAAAAAUCAAGCUCUUAAUCUGAUUAACCAAUAUAAAGCUGAUGUCGCCUUAAUCCUUUCUUGUGAAAAUCUUACACCAAAUUGUGACCUUACAGUUUUAGCGAGUAUUGUUAUCGUGAAAUUAGAUUCACUUCAUCAUGAAAUGUCCAACAUAACGAUUCCCGAUGAAACUACAAGGUACGAGUUCAAACAUUCAAUGUACUUUGCCUUACAACUUUCCAUUAAUCGACUUAAUUUUAUACUUAAUCUAUUGUUCCUUUAAUUUCGUAUCUUAACAUUCACAAUUUCUACUUAAAUCCUUUUAAAUUGGAUCUCCUAACUGACCAAAUAAUCCAAAUAAUUUUCCUGUCACUAAGUCAAUAAACUACUUAUGAAUUUUAA